GAAGCUGGCCAGACAGUCGCUGUGGAUCUUCGAGUCCGCAGAGGAAAGUCCGGGCUCCACAGAGCAGGAUGCCGGCUAACGGCCGGACGCCGCGAGGCGAUGGAAAGUGCAACAGAGAACAGACCGCCGAUGGCUGCCGGUUCGCCGGCGGAUCAGGCAAGGGUGAAACGGUGCGGUAAGAGCGCACCGCGGACGUGGCAACACGGACGGCACGGCAAACCCCAUCCGGAGCAAGACCGAAUAAGCAAGCGACGACGCUGCUCGCCGAGCUUGCGGGUAGGUUGCUAGAGCCUCGGGGUAACUCGAGGCCCAGAUGAAUGACUGUCCACGACAGAACCCGGCUUACCGGCCAGCUUCACCU
rnacentral:RNase_P_RNA from 1 species